rnacentral:rRNA from 1 species
CGGGUUGUAAAGCACUUUCAGUAGGGAGGAAGGUAGUGUAGUUAACACCUGCAUUAUUUGACGUUACCUACAGAAGAAACACCGGCUAACUCCGUGCCAGCAGCCGCGGUAAUACGGAGGGUGCGAGCGUUAAUCGGAAUUACUGGGCGUAAAGCGCAUGCAGGCGGCCUGUUAAGUCAGAUGUGAAAGACCCGGGGCGUUAACCUCGGAAAUUGCAUUUGAAACUAGGCAGGCUAGAGUCUUGUAGAGGGGGGUAGGAAGUUUCAGGUGUAGCGGUGAAAUGCGUAGAGAUCUGAAGGAAUACCAGUGGCGAAGGCGGCCCCCUGGACAAAGACUGACGCUCAGAUGCGAAAGCGUGGGGAGCAAACAGGAUUAGAUACCCUGGUAG